rnacentral:lncRNA from 1 species
CGAAACCAAAGGAAAUAACAAAGAAGGAAAUAGCAAAGGAAAAAGCAAAGCAAAGCAAAGCAAAUAAGUGGACCACAGCAGAAGCACAACAAAUGAAAUGAAAUAAGUGGACCACGGCACGUUGACUGUCCUUCCCCAGCUUGUUCCUUUACAUAAAGCAACUGAAAACACGUGAUUCAAAAGCAAAGCAAUACCAAACGGUGCGUUUCAUUUUUCGGGGCGCAGAUUGGGGGAGCAAAUUCGGGGUAAAUAACUUUUUCCUUGGACUAUUAACCGUUCGAUGAAUUCGUACAUCAAUGCAAACAUUAGGAACAAACUUUUGUUAUUAAGAUUCAAGAGUUGAACACAAGAGAUUAUACAAAAAGGCACAAGAAACACACGUGGGUACCAAUGCAAAGAUUAACAAAUAAACAAUGCUCUUUUUGAAAUUCUUUAAUAUUACAGGGGAAGAGAAAUUUGUUCAGGAAACUCUAAGAGGAGGGCUUCAUCUCCGACUUAAUGGCUGCAACCAAUUGGUCGUAAGCUUCUGACCAGGCACUCUUCAUUUCUGGCGACCACAUCUCUGGUACUGCCUCUUUUAUGGUUUCCAGUAGUGAAAAUUUUGUGACCUCAAAAUGCUCAUUAACAACACCAUAUUUGAAGUGGACAGCUCCUAAUUUUUUUAGAGUUGAUUCUCUUACUGUCACUUUGCCUGCUUUCCUCAGUUGCACUGCUGAUUCACACGUCUGUAACACAACCAACACAACAAAAAAAAGAAGAAGAAAAAAUUGAGGCAAAGCAUUGAAAAAGGUAAGUGUUGAAUGUUGAUGAGCUUAUAGCUGCUAGAUUAUGUUAUCAAGAGCGGAAUUAUGUUAGGGUCUAUGUAACAGUAGUCCCCAUGUUAAGAAAAAGAAGAGAUAAUAUAAGAGUCCUAAUUGAAAUUUAGCUCAAUUAUUUAGAUAAGGCUUUUAAUUAUAAUUUCCCCGUAAUGAUCCUCUUCAGAUAGAAAUCCUGGCUUCGCCGUUGGAUUGGAUGUUAUGAAAACAACAAUAUUAGCAUUAAAUGCUACAAGAUUAAUUUGGAUUAGGUGAUGGUAAACGGGCAGUAAGGAUUAGUAGCAUAUAGGCUUAAUUCAUUACCAUAACAAAAACAGACAUGGCAUGGGUCUUGAGCUUCUGGUUCUGCUCUAGAGGCACAUUUGAGUCUCUCAAGAAUGAGAACAGCUUUUGGGCUGAUGGUGCAAUCUCAAAGAUCCUACAUAUAUACAAGAAAAACCCAGAAACUUUCAGUUGUUAGUACAAUGAUUAUAACAAGAAAGAUUUUGGAUAAAAAAAAAAAAAAGAUUAGCUUACCUCAAGAAGAAUUUAAGACCCAAUUCUCCAGCAUUCUUCUUCAUUACAUUCCAUGACUUGACAACUAAAGCUUCUUGCUCUUCAGUAAAGGCUCUACCUUCGUUAAUGUUGGCCAUUGAUUUCUAUUUGGACACCUGAGGAUUGAAUGUGAUACACAAAAUGUUGUUGAAUGUUGAUCUGUGGCGAUACUGCAUACAAUUUAUACAUUAAAAAUGAACUCUUCAUGGCAUUGAACAGCCAUUUUUGAUGGUCUAAUAUUCAAAAACAGGGGGCUAUAAGAUCUGUUCUUUGACGAAGCGAACAUGGUUUUGGCAACUUGAGGUUGGCAUGAUGUAUGCAUUGAUAAGCAUGACUGCUUGACCAUUAUUGCAUCAGAUUUUCAUUGCACGUAACUUGACCUUUGACCAACAACAUAAUUUGACCUCUGACCAUUAUUUUAUGUUUCAUUCAUCUAGAACUUUCUAUCAAUAUAAUUGUGCCACCAUUAGUCAUCGUUGCCGAUGUUGAUUUUAUAAGAAAUGAGAAGUGAUUACUCCUGAUUGGAAAUUUCUAUCCAAGUUUCAAAGUUCUAGAAAAUUUGGGUAAUUUUUUAUUUGUACAUUGUCUGUUGGACGUUAGCCUGCAGAACUGUUUGCUUGCGCGUUCAAAGUGGAUCUUUGCAAUAAAUUAACUCAACAAUACUUUUGCCCUUUUAAUUUAUGUGACCAAUAUUUUGAGGUUAGUUCCAAAUUAUUUGUGAUAGCUAACUAAUGAAAGAGUUUUGCCACAUCUUUGAAUGGGCCUUCGACAUGCAAUUUACAGAGUUGAAUUAACAAGAUCAUACGUAAAAGUCAAUAACUUUUUUUUUUUUUUACCAAUCCAAAGAAUAAUGUGGAAAAACCAAGAUUAGUACUGCAGCAAAAGAAGAGAGAUAAUUACUGAUAAGAAAAUUCAUAAAUGAUCAUUAGAUUGCUCUGUUUGGAGAGAACUGGAUCUUAGAUUAGAUCAACACAAUAUUCGAUAAUUGAUGAUUACAUGACAUUUUUACAAUAUUAUUUUUUCCAUGAAACAGCAUCACUUUUACAUUCAAUUAGCAAAUUAUGAAGGAGGCUUCAUUUCAGUUUUGAUGGCGGCAGCAAGUUGAUCAUAAGCCUCCGCCCAAGAAUUCUUCAUCUCUGGUGACCACAUUUCAGGUACUGCUUCCUUUAUGGUCUCCAGCAAUGCAUACUUUGUCACCUAUUAACGCAUACAAAAUAUGUCACGCACUCUUAAAUCGGCAUACAUACUCUCUUCUAAAAUCACAGCCUAUCAAGUAAUGAAGUAAACCUACGAAAGAAGAACC